GUCCGUCGCCAACCAGUGGAGGAGACACCUGUGCCAAUGAUUUAUGGGGGCCCUAGACAGGGGCAAGAUAGGUGGGCUGGCCCAGAAGCGGGCAGGCAGCAGCCCACUUAUACAAGAGAACAGUUGCAGCGUGCCAUUCUGCUCCUGCGGGUGGUGGUCCACCUCUUAGUGGACCACUUUUUUAAUUUACUUUUAAG